GUAUUUCGAUUCGUGUUUUCUUGGACCACCGCCCGCCGUCAUGUCCCCAAAUGGCCAAAUGGGUUUGAAAUAAGGAAGAAUCGGUGUAAUUGACAUCUAGUGAACGAUAGGAAUAACAUGCAUAUGGACCAGGAACACGAUUUCCUGGGUCAGAUCACAUGGCUGUGCUGCCGACUGACAUCAACCGUCAGCCUGGGAAGCCCAACUGCCAUUACCAACAACCAGCUGAAGAGGAUCAGAGCAAAUGCUCUGAAAAACAUACUGUUUCCUGCAUACAUUGAUCAUGACCGGUCGGGUGAGAUAUCGGAGCUGUCGCGGCUGCACGCCGCUUGGUUCGUGCUGGCCGGCGCCGGGCGGCUGGAGCCA
rnacentral:lncRNA from 1 species